rnacentral:lncRNA from 1 species
AAAAUGGCUACGGUAACAGGAUUUUAGAAACUAAUCAUUGACAACGAGGUUAAAAGAAAAUCUUAAUCAUUAAACUUGUGUAACCUGUUGCUAUGGUGCUCUUUUCCGAUUAUUCCAACCAUAUUCGCGUUUCAACAAAGAAACUUACCUGUUGUAAAGAAGGGAAAAGUAAACUAAAGCAGAAAGACUUUUUCUUGGAACUCGAUAUAAAUAUUUUUUGUGUUUCGUGUUUAAAUUUUUUUUUUUAAUGUUUACAGCUUGAGAUUGUUAAAAUCAAUAUGAAUAUAUUUAAAAUAUUUUUUACUUAAAGAUUGAAAGA